rnacentral:rRNA from 1 species
UACGUAGGGUCCGAGCGUUGUCCGGAAUUACUGGGCGUAAAGGGCGCGUAGGCGGCCUUCUAAGUCGAACGUGAAAUCCCUGGGCUCAACCCAGGAACUGCGUCCGAUACUGGAAGGCUUGAAUCCGGGAGAGGGAUGCGGAAUUCCAGGUGUAGCGGUGAAAUGCGUAGAUAUCUGGAGGAACACCGGUGGCGAAGGCGGCAUCCUGGACCGGCAUUGACGCUGAGGCGCGAAAGCCAGGGGAGCAAACGGG